rnacentral:lncRNA from 1 species
CCAUAAAUAUUAUAUUGAUAUCACUUUCAAACGUUUUUUCUUACAAUACCUUCACGAAACCCUCUGUAGGAUAAUGAAGGAGUGGUACAUAAAAUCAUGAUAAAGAAUGUUGAAACCUUACACGAAAGCUCAUGCACGUAAAAUUCAAAUAAUAUUCAUCAUCAUCAAUGACAGAACCACAUAUAUUCGAAAGGUGUCAACUGACACCACUUUACACAAAAGGUACUAUGUAGAUAGGUGAAAAGUUUUAUUUAUAUGCAAUAAAUUAAAUUUACUAUUAUAUUUUAACAAUCCUUUAUAAAGUUUAGUUCCUUCAAUUUAUUCAAGGUAUAAUCUUUAAGUUGAUACUCACAAAAGGACAAAUAAAUUUUAGACAAGUAAAUCUCACUUUGCAUAAACCAUUUGCAACAACUAUUCUCAUUUUCUUGUAGAAAAAAAAAUCUAAGAAAAAAGUUUUUACAUAAAAUAUUGGACAAAUACUCACUCUCUAGAAGUACUUUUUCUUGUCCUAAAAGAAUCAAAACUCACUCUUUGAUUGUUUAUUUUCAAGAAUUAAUGGAAGAUCCAUUGGUGGAUGAAAGAGAAGAGUUACGUUGAUGGUUUCAACACUUGGUGGAAUCCCACAACAAAGAAAUGCCCAUUUCUUAAUACCGGUUGGUUCAUCGAUUGAAGGUUUAAAAUUGAAAGUUGUUUUGAUUAGUUUCUACGCCAUCAAAGAGACUUUUAAUGGCCAGUCACAUUCGGAUGGAAAAGGAAUUGAAGGAUGCUUCAAUGGUCAUUGAAAGUCUCAUUUAAUGGAGUAGAAACUAAUAAAAACAUCAUUAAAUUUUAGACCUUCAAUCGAUGAAACAAUCGAUUUCAAAAAAUGGACUUUUCUUAGUUGCAGAAUACCACGAAGUAGUGAAACCAUCAACUCUUCCGUUCAUCCAUUAUUGGAUCUUCCAUUGAUUCUUGUAAAUGAACAAUUAAAGAGUAAGUUCUGGUUCUUUUAGGACAAGAAAAAAGUACUUCUAUAAAGUGAGUAUU